rnacentral:rRNA from 1 species
CCCUUAGAUGUCCGGGGCCGCACGCGUGCUACACUGAUGCAUUCAACGAGUCUAAAACCUGGUCUGAUAGGGCUGGGUAAUCUUUUGAAAGUGCAUCGUGAUUGGGAUAGAUGAUUGCAAUUCUUCAUCUUCAACGAGGAAUGCCUAGUAAACGCAAGUCAUCAGCUUGCAUUGAUUACGUCCCUGCCCUUUGUACACACCGCCCGUCGCUCCUACCGAUUGAAUGAUCCGAUGAAUACCAUGGAUUGAGAGUACGAAUAGGUUCGCUUAUUUCUGCUGCUCGAGAAGUGGAGUAAAUCUUAUCAUUUAGAGGAAGGAGAAGUCGUAACA